rnacentral:rRNA from 1 species
AACGAACGCUGGCGGCAGGCUUAACACAUGCAAGUAGAACGAACUAGCAAUAGGGAGUGGCGCACGGGUGCGUAACGCGUGGGAAUAUGCCCUUGAGUACGGAACAACACAGGGAAACUUGUGCUAAUACCGUAUAAUGUCUCCGGCCCAACGAUUUAACGGUGAAGGAUUAGCCCGCGUUAGAUUAGCUAGUUGGAGAGGUAAUGGCUCACCAAGGCGACGAUAUAUAGCUGGUCUGAGAGGAUGGUCAGCCACACUGGAACUGAGACACGGUGCAGACUCCUACGGGAGGCAGCAGUGAGGAAGAUUGGACAAUGGGGGAGACCCGGAUCCAGCCAGGCCGCGUGAGGGAUGAAGCCCGUCGGAUUGUAAAUCUCUUCCGGCCCAGAAUAUAAUGACUGUAUACGCAGAAGAAGCCCCGGCUAAAUUCGUGCCAGCCGCCGCGGUAA